UACAGAGGUCCCAAGCGUUGUUCGGAUUCACUGGGCGUAAAGGGUGCGUAGGCGGUCGGGUAAGUCUGACGUGAAAUCUCCAAGCUCAACUUGGAAAUGGCGUCGGAUACUAUUCGGCUCGAGGAAUGGAGGGGAGACUGGAAUUCUCGGUGUAGCAGUGAAAUGCGUAGAUAUCGAGAGGAACACCAGUGGCGAAGGCGAGUCUCUGGACAUUUCCUGACGCUGAGGCGCGAAAGCCAGGGGAGCGAACGGG
rnacentral:rRNA from 1 species